UGGGGAAUAUUGCACAAUGGGCGCAAGCCUGAUGCAGCCAUGCCGCGUGUAUGAAGAAGGCCUUCGGGUUGUAAAGUACUUUCAGUCGGGAGGAAGGUGGUAAGGUUAAUAACCUUAUCAAUUGACGUUACCGACAGAAGAAGCACCGGCUAACUCCGUGCCAGCAGCCGCGGUAAUACGGAGGGUGCAAGCGUUAAUCGGAAUUACUGGGCGUAAAGCGCACGCAGGCGGUUGAUUGAGUCAGAUGUGAAAUCCCCGGGCUUAACCCGGGAAUUGCAUCUGAUAAUGGUCAGCUAGAGUCUUGUAGAGGGGGGUAGAAUUCCAUGUGUAGCGAUGAAAUGCGUAGAGAUGUGGAGGAAUACCGGUGGCGAAGGCGGCCCCCUGGACAAAGACUGACGCUCAGGUGCGAAAGCGUGGGGAGCAAACAGG
rnacentral:rRNA from 1 species